GCUACAUAUUGGGUACAGGGUACACAGCUUAGUUGAUGGGGGUACCAAAAUCUCAGAACUCACCACUAAAGAACUUAUACAUGUAACAAGAACCCACCUGUACCCCAAAAACUGUUGAAAUUUUAAAAAAGCCUAGCCUUGGUCCUGCCCAGUUCAGAAAGACAUGAAGCUAUGACUUGGAUUUACUCUUCCAAAAGCCUCAAAUAGCCAGCCCUGAUCCGUUGACACAGUUCCACUUCUGAGCAGAGAAAUGGAAAAGAAGGCAGCAGAAAGACAAGAAAGAAACUCCCCUGAGAUCAGGGGCUAGCUCAUUAAUCUAGGUGAGCAUGCCAAUUUGGAGAUGAGACAAACUGACCCUGGAGGGGUCAAAUGACUCAGUAAUGCAGCCAGCUUUUGGCACGGGCAAGGUGAGGGCCACAUCUGCCUUCCUACAGCCACUAGAGAAGGAAAAUGGGCACAGAAUUCAGUAGCAGAGCCAGGAUCCAGCAACCCCAAAUCCUGGUCUCCCAGCUGCCAGCCUGGAAACGUCACCCAGCUCUUUGACCCACUUUUGGCUUUGGUUCCUUAACUGCACCUGUGCCAGUGGCUGGCUGGGGUACUCUGAGUCGCUUGACUCCUCCAGGGCUCAGUUUGAAUAAUCUCCAAAAUGGCAUGCUCACCUAGGUUGACUAGCUAGCUCCUAAUCUCAGUGAAGUGUCUAUUUUGUCUUUCUGGGGGAAAUCUGGGUGUCAGAUAGGGAAAGGCAGCAAGAUCUGGGAAAUCUAGGCCCCAGACACUAGAGGUGGAACUGGUCCUCCUGCAUCCUGGCUGGAAGCAACAUUUGAAAGCUGGUCUUGAGCAAGACAAUGAAUGAGGACAGCCAUUCUCAGGGUUGCACGUGUGAUCUUACUUAACCCUCAGGUGGCCCUGUCAAGUGGAUUCCUUCGUUUUCUCGUUUUUCCAUUAAGAAAACACAAGUAGGCGUCAGUCUGAAGACUCGUAAUUCAGUGCUUCCAACAAGGGGCAGGAGGGGCCUGGCUGAGCGCUCUGAAGGUGGAGUGGGGCUGGGUGCCAGAACAGGGAUGCUUUCCUGGAUGGCUGGAGCUGCUCCCGCCGUGUUCUGGAGCAGGGCAGAACAGGAAGGCAGAAACAAUGGGCAGCCGGCAGUGGCAGGGUGCUGAGGUUCCUGAGCCCAGGGGUGGGGAGGCUCAGGCCUGGUCACCACCAAGGCUGGGAGUGCAAGUUUCCUGUGCAAGAGACUAACAAGAUUAGCAGCUAACAUUUUUGAGCACUUACUGUAUGUCCAGACCUGUGUUAGACACUUUAGAUGUGUUUGCCUCAUUUUACAGAUCAAGAAAUUGGGGCACAGAGAGUUUAAAUGAAAUGCUCAAGGUAAGUAUGAGGUGAAAGAUUUGAACUCGGGCAGAUUGGCUCCAGAUCCUAUGCUCUUAACUACUAUAACUUUAUACAUAUAUAUAUGAGUAUAUACAUGUUAUACAUACUUUCCCAUAAUUUUCCCUUUCACUUAAUUUAUCAUUGCCGGCUUUCUAUGUCAUCAGUAUCAUCCUUGUUUAAAGUGCUAACAUGCCGAGAAGACCUUGUCACUGUGUCCUGCCCACAUCCCAGUCUGUUUUUCCCACUGAGGGGUCUGGAUUUUCACCAUUGGUGCUGACAUUGAGUUAAGGUGUCGUUCCUCUCAUUUAAAUUAGUGAUAACAAUGGUGGCACCAAGGGGUGGGCUUUGGGGAUGCUUAAGCCCCUAUUUUUUUAAGAGAUGGGGUUUCACUAUGUUGGCCAGGAUGGUCUCGAUCUCGACCUCAUGAUCCCCUGCCUCGGUCUCCCAAAGUGCUGGGAUUACAGGUAUAAGCCACCGUGCCUGGCCACCUUUUUUUUUUUAAGCCCCUCUUAAUCUCUAUCAUAAUAACCCCUUUAUCUAAAUAAACACCAUCUACAGAAAAUAAUGUGCUUUUAUGCAAACACUGCUUCAAGACAGGCUUCCCUCCCCAGCUCAGUCAGCUUGCUGCACCCAAGCAUUCCCAUGGAGAAGCCCACCAGGCAGCCUGGCUGGUGGGUUCAGGCCAGAGCAGUGCUAGUUCUGAACAAGCUGUAGGAGCACUGUGGGUUUCUUAGGAUCCAGUGGGGUGGAGAUUUGGAGCCCAGGAAGACCCAGCCUGGCCUGGUGGUGGUGGCUUCAGAAUGAGCUGGAGAGGGUAGAGGCUCUUGCGUAGGGCUCUGCUUACUGCAUUUUAUGUAAGAUUAAGGCCUCAGAUUGGUUCCAUAAAGACUGUGAAGGCCUGUGGGACUCAGGACUCCAGGGUAAGACUGACCUGCCCCUCCUUUCACCUGAGAGAUCCCAGGGCAGUAGGGGCAGGGGAGUGGGAGGGACUUGUUGAAAAUGCUCCACCAUGGCAGCUAGGAGAGGCUGCUGGAGCUGCUCCCCCUGGGGUGAGGAAUCAGUUAGAAGACCCCUCCUGGAGCCCCUUUUGGCCCUCACAAGGCCAGCUGGGAGCACUGGAUGGGGAACCAGAUACCUGAGUUUUGUAUUCUAGUUUCACCCCUGCCUAUGGGUGGCUGUGUGGCCCUGGGCAAGUCACUCUACUUGGUAGCCUCUGGCUUCCCAACCCUACCACACCAGGAAACACCAUGGACUCUCCUGUUCUGCCAGAUGAUCUAACAAAUCAUGCUUUUCCUCUCUGGGCCACCUGGGCUGGCAGGUGGGUGAUUCAGAAGUCAUCUUUAAACCUCCCAUUAUUAGUACAUAUUAAUAUACAUUUACAUAAUUUCCUUCCAAGGAUGGCUGUUGGGGGUCACCUAUCAUCUACUUCCCCUUCUUAUGGUAGCUGUCCUCAAUUUUCCUCUGAGGAAGCCUCCUCUCCUCCACCUCAGCCAUGUGCAAUGUGUGGAGUUGACUCUUCUUCUGGCUCCAAAAGGGGAAGAGAGGCUUGCCGAUCUGUGCAUUCCAAUCCCCAAACCUCAGAGGAGUGGGGGUCAGGGUGGGGCAUGUGGCCCAAUUCCAGCCAAUGGCAUCAGGCUUAAAACUGGUUUCGAUUGUGGAGAAGUCUGGAAGCUUCUAACCUAAGGGUAUUUGAAGCUGGAGUUAACUGGCAGCCAUCCUGCUCCCACUGAGAAUGGAGCCAUUGCAGAGAAAGCAGAACUGAGGGCGGAGAGACGGACCAGGGCCUCGUAGCUGAAUCCCUCAAGUUCAGCUGUGCAUGAAGCCAACUGCUUACCCUUAGGCUUUUCAGGCACAAGAGACAAUCAAAUGCCUUUUUAACUGAAGCCAGUUUGAAGUGGGUUUUCUGUUGCUUACAGCUGGAAGAAUCCUGACUUUCAUUGACGUUAUUUAAUUCUAUGAUGCCAUCACUGGUACGAUGAUUUUUUAAAGGAAAAUAUUAAAUCUGUUUAAUGACAGGGUUUAUAAAAAUUUUUUUGAGAAGGUCUUGCUCUGUCGCCCAAGCUGGAGUGCAGUGGCGUGAUCUCGGCUUACUGCAACCUCUGCCUCCUGGGCUUAAGCCAUCUUCCUACCUCAUCCUCCAAGCCGCCCAAGUAGCUGGGACUACAGACACAUGCCAACCACACCCUGAUAAUUUUUGUAUUUUUAGCAGAGACGACAUUUCUUCAUGUUUCCCAGGCUGGUCUUGAACUCCUGAGCUCAAGCGAUCCACCCACCUCAGCCUCCCAAAAUGCUGGGAUUAUGAGCCUGAGCCCUGGCACCCGGCUUAAUAACAGGUUUUUUUCUUUUAAUUAAAAAGAUUCAAAUCAGAUUUCCCCUGGAAAAAAAAAUGACAAUCGUGUAUUUUUAUUUAUAAAAUUACAUACCACCAUCUACUUUGGUAAUAUGAUCAAAGUUCUUCACAUCUAGAGUCUAGACUGUGAGAAACAAACUCACCUAUCCAAACCCAAAGAAGGGACUUAGAGACACAGAGAAGAGUUGGAAAGAGACUUUUAAUGACAGCCUUGCAAGAUCAGGCAUCUGGUAACCCCCAUCAUGGUUACAACAAGCACUUUAUCCUCUAGUGUGCAGGUCCCUGCCCUGGUUCCUCAUGGGCUGUACUGUGGGGUCACAAUCUUCCUAAACCCUGGACAUCAUCUGUUGGUCGUGGAUAGGGCUUUUUAUUUUAUUAUUUUGUUUUUGAGACAGAGUAUCAUUCUGUCGCCCAGCCUGGAGUACAAUGGUGUGAUCUUGGCUCACUGCAACCUCCACCACCAACCCCCCCACCCUGGGUUCAAGUGAUUCUCCAGCCUUAGCCUCCAAAGUAGCUGGGAUUACAGACACAUGCCACCACACCUGGCUGAUUUUUGUAUUUUUAUUAGAGACACGGUUUCACCAUGUUGGCCAGGCUGGUCUUGAACUCCUGAGCUCAAGUGAUCUGCCCACCUUGGCCUCUCAAAGUGCUGGAAUUAUAUGCGUGAGCCACCUCACCUGGCCAGGUAGGAGUUUUAGGAGUUUUUUUUUUUUUUACUUGUAUUUGGGCUCUGGGGUACAUAUGUACAUCCUGUAUCCUGCAGGAUUGUUGCAUAGGUACAUGCCAUGGUGGUUUGCUGUCUCCAUCCCUGCGCCUCCCCCUGCCCCCCUACUGUCUCCUACAUCAGGCAUUUUUCCCGGUGCUAUCCAUCCCCAUCCUCCCUGCCCCCCUUCGCUGUCUCUCCCCUCCCCUCCCCUCCACCACACCACCUUGCCCUGUGAGGGUUGUUCCCUUCCCUAUGCUGAGUAUUCUUAUUGUUUAUCACCCACCGAUGAGUGAAAAACAUGUGGUGUUUGGUUUUCUGUUCUUGUGUCAGUUUGCUGAGAAUAAUGCUUUAUAGAUUCAUCCAUGUCUGUACAAAGGACACAAACUCAUUUUUUAUGGCUGCAUAGUAUUCCAUGGUGUAUAUAUGCCACAUUUUUUUUUUGUCCAGUCUAUCAUCAAUGGGCAUUUGGGUUGGUUCCAGGUCUUUGCUAUCAUAAACAGUGCCACAAUGAACAUAUGUGUGCAUGUGUCCUUAUAUUAGAAUGAUAUACAAUCUUUUGGGUAUAUACCCAGUAAUGGGAUUGCUGGGUCAAAUGGAAUUUCUAUUUCUAGGUCCUUGAGGAAUCGCCACACUGUCUUCCACAAUGGUUGAACUAAUUUACACUCCCAUCAACAGUGUAAAAGUGUUCCAUUUCUCCACAUCCUCUCCAGCAUCUGUUGUCUUCAGGUUUUUUAAUGAUCGCCAUUCUAACUGGCGUGAGAUUGUAUCUCAAUGUGGUUUUGAUUUGCGUUUCUCUAAUGACCAGUGGUGAUGAGCAUCUUUUCAUAUGUUUGUUGGCCACAUAUUUUCUUCUUUUGAAAAGUGUCUGUUCAUAUCCUUUGCCCACUUUUGGAUGGGUUUGUUUGUUUUUCUCUUGUAAAUCUGCUUUAGUUCUUUGUAGAUCCUGGACAUUAGCCCUUUGUCCGAUGGGUAGAUUGCAAAAAUUUUUUCCCAUUCUGUUGGUUGUGGGCUUACUCUAAUGAUUGUUUCUUUUGCUGUGAAGAAACUCUUAAGUUUAAUUAGAUCCCAUUUGUCUGUUUUGGCUUUUGUUGCUAUUGCUUUUGGUAUUUUAGUCAUAAAGUCCUUGCCUAUGCCUAUGUCCUGAAUGGUGUUUACCUAGGUUUUCUUCUAGGGUUUGUAUGGUGUUAGGUCUUAUGUUUAAAUCUUUAAUCCAUCUGGAGUUAAUUUUUGUAUAAGGUAUAAGGAAGUGGUCCAGUUUCUGCUUUCUGCACAUGGCUAGCCAGUUUUCCCAACACCAUUUAUUAAACAGGGAAUCCUCUCUCCACUGCUUGUUUUUGUCCAGUAUGUCAAAAAUCAGAUGGUUGUAGAUGUGUGGCAUUGCUUCCGAGGCCUCUAUUCUGUUCUAUUGGUCUUUAUCUCCAGUAUUUGGUACCAGUACCAUGCUGUUUUGAUUACUGUAGCCUUGUAGUAUAGUUUGAAGUCAGGUAGUGUGAUGCUUCCAGCUUUGUUCUUUUUGCUUAGGAUUGUCUUGGCUUUGCAGGCUCUCUUUUGGUUCCAAAUGAAGGUUAAAGUGUUUUUUCCAGUUCUGUGAAGGUCAUUGGUAGCUUGAUGGGGAUAGUAUUGAAUCUAUAAAUUACUUUGGGCAGUAUGGCCAUUUUCACAAUAUUGAUUCUUCCUAACCAUGAGCAUGGAAUGUUUUUCCAUCUGUUUGUGUCCUCUCUUAUUUCAUUGAGCAGUGGUUUGUAGUUCUCCUUGAAGAGAUCUUUUACAUCCUUUGCUAGUUGUAUUCCUAGACAUUUUAUUCUCUUUGUAGCAGUUGUAAAUGGGAGUUCGCUCAUGAUUUGGCUCUCUGUUUAUCUGUUAUUGGUGUAUAGGAAUGCUUGUGAUUUCUGUAUAUUGAUUUUGUAUCUUGAGACUUUGCUCAAGUUGCUUAUCAGCAUAAGGAGGUUUUGGGCUGAGAUGAUGGGGUCUUCUAAAUAUACGAUCAUGUCGUCUGCAAAUAGGGACAAUUUGACUUCUUUUCCUAACUGAAUGCCCUUUAUUUCUUUCUCUUGCCUAAUUGCUCUGGCUAGAACUUCCAAUAUUAUAUUGAAUAGGAGUGGUAAGAGAGGGCAUCCUUGUCUACUGCCAGUUUUUAAAGGGAAUGCUUCUAGUUUUUGCCCAUUCAGUAUGAAAUUGGCUGUGGCUUUGUCAUAAAUAGCUUUUAUUGUUUUAAGAUACAUUACAUCGAUACCUAGUUUAUUGAGAGUUUUUAGCAUAAAGGGCUGUUAAAUUUUGUUGAAGGCCAUCUCUGCAUCUAUUGAGAUAAUCAUAUGGUUGUCUUUGGUUCUGUUUAUAUGGUGAGUUAUGUUUAUAGAUUGGCUUAUGUUGAACCAGCCUUGCAUCCCGGAGAUGAAGCCUACUUGAUCAUGGUGGGUAAGCUUUUUGAUAUGGUGUUGGAUUCGGUUUGCCAGCAUUUUAUUGAAGAUUUUUGCAUCAGUGUUCAUCAUGGAUAUUGGCCUGUAGUUUCCUUUUUUAGUUGUUUCUCUGCCAGAUUUUGGUAUCAGGAUGAUGUUGGUCUCAUAGAAAGUGUUAGAGAGGAUGCCCUCUUUUUGUAUUGUUUGGAAUAGUUUCAGCAGGAAUGGUACCAGCUCCUCUUUGUAUAUCUGGUAGAAUUCGGCUGUGAACCCGCCUGGACCUGGACUUUUUUUAGUUGGUAGGCUAUUAAUUGCUGCCUCAACUUCAGAUCUUGUUAUUGGACUAUUCAGGGUUUCAACUUCUUCUUAGCUUAGUCUUGGGAGUCUGCAAGUGUCCAGGAAUUUAUCCAUUUCUUCCAGAUUUACUGGUUUAUCUGCAUAGAGGGGUUUGUAGUAAUCUCUGAUGGUAGUUUGUAUUUCUGACGAAUCGGUGGUGAUCUCCCCUUUAUUGUUUUUUAUUGAAUUGAUUCAAUUCUUCUCUCUUUUCUUUUUUAUUAGUCUAGCUAGCAGUCUAUUUUGUUGAUCUUUAAAAAAAACCAAAUCCUGGAUUUACUGAUUUUUUGAAGGGUUUUUGUGUCUCUAUCUCCUUCAGUUCUGCUCUGAUCUUAGUUAUUUCUUGUCUUCCGCUUGCUUUUGAGUUUUUUUGAUCUUGCUCCUCUAGCUCUUUCAAUUUUGAUGACAGUGAUUUUAGAUCUUUCCUUGUUUCUCAUGUGGGCAUUUAUUGCUAUACAUUUUCCUCUACAGACUGCUUUAAAUAUGUCCCAUAGGAUCUGGUAUGUUGUGUCUUCAUUUUCAUUGGUUUCAAAGAACAUUUUUAUUUCUGCCUUCAUUUCAUUGUUUAUCUAUUCAUCAUUCAGGGCAAGUUGUUCAGUUUCCAUGUGAUUGUGCAGUUUUGAGUGCUUUUCUUUAUCCUGAGUUCUAAUUUGACUGUGCUGUGAUCUGAGAGACUGUUAUGAUUUCCGUUCUUUUGCAUUUGCUGAGGAGUAACUUACUUCCAAUUAUGUGGUCAAUUUUGGAGUAAGUGCAGUGUGGUGCUGAGAAGAAUGUGAAUUCUGUGGAUUUGGGGUGGAGUGUCCUGUAAAUGUCUAUUAGGUCGGCUUGGUCCAAAUCUGCAUUCAAGUCCUGGAUAUCCUUGUUCACUUUCUGUCUCAUUGAUAUGUCCAAUAUUGUCAGUGGAGUGUUAGAGUCUCCCACUAUUAUUGUGCGGGAGUCUAAGUCUCUUUGUAGGUCGUUAAGAACUUGCUUUAUGUAUCUGGGUGCUUCUGCAUUGGGUGCCUAUAUAUUUAGGAUAGUUAGCUCUUUUUUGUUGCAUUGAUCCUUUUACCAUUAUAUAAUGCCCUUCUUUGUCUCUUCUGAUCCUUGUUGGUUUAAAGUCCAUUUUAUCAGAGACUAGGAUUGCAACUCCUGCUUUUUUUUUUUUUUUGCUUUCCAUUUGCUUGGUAAAUCUUCUUCCAUCCCUUUAUGUUGAGUCUAUGUGAGUCUUUGUAUGUGAGAUGGGUCUUGACUUUUUAUCCAGUUUGCCAGUCUGUGUCUUUUGAGUGGGGCGUUUAGGCCAUUUACAUUCAAUGUUAAUAUUGUUACGUUUCAAUUUCAUCCUGCCAUUUUGUUACUGGCUGGUUGUUUUGCAUGUUAGUUGAUGUGGUUUCUUCAUUGCAUCAUUGUUCUUUACCAUUUUUUCAGAGGCUGGUACUGGAUGUUCCAUUCCCUGUUUAGUACUUCCUUCAGUCGCUCUUGUAAGGCAGGUCUUGUAGUGACGAAAUCUCUCAGCAAUUGCUUGUCUAUAAAGGAUUUUAUUUCUCUUUCACUUACAAAGCUUAGUUUGGCCAGAUAUGAAAUUCUGGGUUGAAAGUUCCUUUCUUUAAGGAUGUUGAAUACUGGCCCCCACUCCCUUCUAGUUGUAGGGUUUCUGCUGAGAGAUCCCAUGUGAAUCUUAUGGUCUUUCCUUUGUGGGUGCCUCGAUCUUUCUCUCUGGCUGCCCUUAGGAUUUUUUCCUUCAUUUCAACCCUGGUGAAUUUAAACAAUUAUGUGCUUUGGGGUUGCUCUUCUUGAGGAAUAUCUUUGAUAUUCCUGGAUUUGAAUGUUGAUAUUCCUGGAUUUGAAUGUUCUCUGUAUUUCCUGGAUUUGAAUGUUGGCCUGCCUCGUUAGGUUGGGAAAGUUUUCUUGGGUAAUAUCUUGAAGAGUGCUUUCCAACUUGGAUUCAUUCUCCCUGUCACAUUCAGGUACGCCGAUCAAGUGUAGAUUAGGUCUUUUCACAUAAUACCAUAGUUCUUGGAGGCAUUGUUCAUUUUUUUUUUUUCACUUUUUCUCUAAUCUUGCCUCCUUGUUUUAUUUCAUUGAUUUGAUCUUCUAUCUCUGAUAUCCUUUCUUCUGCUUGAUCGAUUUGGCUGUUGAAACUUGUGUAUGCCUCAUGAAGUUCUUGUGCUGUGUUCUUCAGCUCCAUCAAGUCAUUUAUUUUCUUCUCUAAACUGGUUAUUCUAGUUAGCAUUUCGUCUAACCUUUUUUCAAGGUUCUUAGUUUCUUUGCUUUGGGUUAGAACAUGGUGUUUUAACUCAGAGAAGUUUGUUAUUACCCACCUUCUGAAGCCUACUUCUGUCAAUUCGUCAAAUUCAUUCCCUUUUUUUGUUCCCUUGAUAGUGAGGAGUGGUGAUCCCUGGACGGAGAAGAGAUAUUCUAUUCUUUGAUGGUUUCAUCUUUUUUGCGCUGUUUCCCCCCAUCUUCGUGGAUUUAUCUCCCUUUGAUCUUUGAAGUUUGUGAUUUCAGGAGGAGACUGAGUGGAUGGUUUUUUUCUGUUGAGGUUGGAGCUAUAUAUUUUUUGGCCUGUAGAGGGCGUUGCUGGGCGCUCUUGGGUUCAGUCAGGUUGUUGGGUGGGUGGUCCUUCCCUGGAGUUUGUUUGCAGGUGAGAUUAGCCCCGCCUUCUCAAUGGCGCCUCUCCCAGAGCUCGGGCUUCCUGGUUGAAGUCAAACUGCUGGUGUACUUGCUGCCAGGCUCUCUAGCUAGGGCUUCAGUCUGAGUUCUGCGGAGGUGGGGCCUGCCAGGCCUUAUGGUCUGUUUCCCUGCUUUCAACUUUGCCUUUGGACUCUCUGUCCCGCGGGUUUGUGCAACUUGCUGCGCUGGGCGGUAGCCGCUGCUCAGAUUUGCUUCAACUACCCACGGCGCCCCUCAGUCUGGCAGGGCUCUCGAGGACCGUGGGUUGCAGGAGGAAUGAGGUCUCCCAUGUUCCUGGCUUUUGGAAUCCACUGGAGAGAGGAUGAAUAAAGAGGAAGCUGCAGGCUGUGAAGUGUCUAAUCCUUGCUCCCCUCUGAAACUGGGACAUGUUGGAUCAAGCACUAUCCCCAUUUCACAGAUGAAGAAACCGAGGCAGACAGAGAGAAUUGAAGUAGCUUGCCAAAAUAGUAAAACUACAUUAUAAAUCAUAAACCCAAAUGCCAUGCUCUAUUAUCCCAGUUUCCCAGAAGCUGGACAAGCCACAACGGCACCUUCCAAUAAAAGGGGAACUCCAGAGAUGCUAUGAGAAAAGAGGAACAGACAUCUGCAAUAGAUAUCUGCAACUUCCUUCUCAAAAACAACAUCAGCAUUGGUUUCUCAGGAAGCCACUGCCAGCCAAUUGUGAUAGCAGACACUGAGUUCCUGAAAUUCUCUAGUCAGGAUCCCAGAUUGGAGAUCAGCCAGUGGUUAACAUAUAAUUGGCACAAAACUGAUUUUACUGGAAGACUGAGAGUGAGCAUUCACCAUGGUUCUAAGCAUUAGAAAAUCCACAAAAACAUUACAAUUCUGUUGUGUAUGAGUUUAGGACAAAAGGAAAAUCCUGACAUAAUCCCAACCGAAAAAACAAUGUCAACACUUAGAAGUAGGAUGGGGAGGCAAAGAUGAAUUGGCAGCGUUAUCAUAGCUACUGGACUAUGUGGACUUUAACAAAAUAAGAAAUGGGGGUGGGGGUUGGGUAGUGGUGUUUCAACAGAGCAGGAGUAGAGACAGAUGUCCUGGGAGCAGAAUGGAUGCCAAUGCUGCCUGGAGCCUGAAGCUGGGAGCUGAGGACUAAGAGGAGACAGGAGGGUGGGGACCUGUACCUGUUCCAAGAAACUGGUGCCCCAAAACUGGUAAGCUGGGUUACGCAUUUAGCUCAUUCCUUUACCAGAAUGCAGUCACCACUCGAUGAUAAAAAUGACUGAUGUCAGGACUUGAACAGUUCUCUAUAAAUGAGUUCCUGGGAGACAACAGGUCUCCAGGCUCCACAAUACCUACCAAACACACUGCCUUUAGCCUGUUUCAAACUGGACUUCUUAUACAGAAUCCAACCCAACCAAACUCAGAGGUAGGGGUGAGAGUAGGCAAUAAACAGCUAUGAUGCUCCAUUCCUUGGCCAGGCAGGGAGCCUUUCCAUCCACUUCCAUGAAACUGCUUGUAACAGAAGUAAGAAAACCAACCCCAAGGCUCAGUAACCCACCCAAGGUCAGAACCACUGAGUGGCAGAGACAGUGAGCCACAAAGGAGACUGAAAACCAGAAAGAGCUUCUCUCUAGUCUGCAUUAUUUUAAGAAAAACAUGCCCAUAGGGGCAACCUGGAACCAAGGCUGUGGGACAACCUGGACUCAGCACACUCACCUUCCUUUCUAAUUAAACAUCAACUUCCCAGAAGCAACAACAGCCUGGCCCAGCAGAUGAACUGGAAUCAAUCUAAGCUUUUCCCCUAUGCCAGGGGUGGUGUGGGGUAGGGAUCUGGGUCAGUUUGGGCACUUACACCUACUUAGUUUGGGUACCACUGCACCUGCUGUGAAGUCUACUGGCAUCUUCCAGGAAAGUCCUACCUCAUUAGUAAAAAGAAAAACAAAGACUUGGGAAGAAAGUUCCUGCUCUACCUGGUGAAUGCUGUUGUGUGAGGAUAUCAUGUUUGGAACAUGCCAGACACCCUGUGACCACAAGAAGGCCAGGCAUACCACAAGAUGGUCAUUCCAGUGCUCUGAAUCAGCCCCAAACCACCUCCCUCAAAACUCAUGUUCUAAAGUGAUUAAAAGUGUGCUUUGAAGGUCAACCAGUAACAGUCAACAGAUCAGUGACUGCCAGGAGUCAAGGGUAGAGGGAGGGAGGAACAGAUGGAGCACAGAGAAUUUUUAGGGCAGUGAAGAUGUCCUGUAUGAUGCUAUAAUGAAUACAUGUCAUCAUGAUUAGAGAAUUUGUAUAAUGAAUACAAGUCAUCAUACACUUGUCCAAACGCACAGAAUGUACACCACCAAGAGUGAACCCUAGAGUAACCUACGGACUUUGGGUGAUCAUGAUGUGUUAAUGUAGGUUCGUCAAUUGCAACAAAUGUACCAUUCUAGUCGGAGAUGUUAAUAAUAGAAGGCUAUGCAUGUGUGGGACCAGGGGAUAUAUGGGAAAUCUCUGUAUUUGCCUCUCACGUUUGCUGAUAAUCUAAAACUGCUCUUUAAAGUCUUACAAAAAAAAAAGGAAGUCCGCUUUGCCUUAUGUUGGGUCUUCAGUUGCCUCCAGCCAAACACAGCUGGCAUGAGGCAAACCUUUAUUUGACAUUUAGUGAGCACACCACAGUGCAGUGCUGCCACAAGAGCAGUAACAGAAAUGGAACUCAACAACCACAACCACAGAGACAUCCCUGAUCUGCGACAAUGGGACCAGUACUUAUGUCAGAACCCAGUACAUGUAACCACAUUUUGUGUAUAAACAAAAUAAAAUUUACAUUUAAGUUACUA